rnacentral:rRNA from 1 species
CCCUUAGAUGUCCUGGGCUGCACGCGCGCUACACUGAGUGGAUCAGCGGGUCAGGUUGCGCGAAAGCGUUUCCUAAUCUUUAAAUCCGCUCGUGAUGGGGAUUGACGGUUGCAAUUUUCUGUCAUGAACGAGGAAUACCUUGUAAGCGCGGGUCAUCAUCCCGCGCUGAAUACGUCCCUGCCCUUUGUACACACCGCCCGUCGCUCCUACCGAUUGAGUGGUCCGGUGAGGCUUUGGGAUCUGAGCGGAAAGAGCGUUUCGCUGUUUCUGCUCGGAAAACUCAGUCGAACCUUAUCAUUUAGAGGAAGGAGAAGUCGUAACA